rnacentral:rRNA from 1 species
UACGAAGGGGGCUAGCGUUGCUCGGAAUCACUGGGCGUAAAGCGCACGUAGGCGGAUCUUUAAGUCAGGGGUGAAAUCCCAAGGCUCAACCUUGGAACUGCCUUUGAUACUGAGGAUCUUGAGUUCGGGAGAGGUGAGUGGAACUGCGAGUGUAGAGGUGAAAUUCGUAGAUAUUCGCAAGAACACCAGUGGCGAAGGCGGCUCACUGGCCCGAUACUGACGCUGAGGCACGAAAGCGUGGGGAGCAAACAGG